UACGAAGGUGGCGAGCGUUACUCGGAAUUACUAGGCGUAAAGGGCAGGUAGGUGGUUUGGUAAGUCUGUUGUGUAAGCUCCCGGCUUAACUGGGAGAGGUCAACAGAUACUACUAGGCUUGAGUAUAGGAGAGGGUACUGGAAUUCCCGGUGUAGCGGUGAAAUGCGCAGAGAUCGGGAGGAACAUCAAUGGCGAAAGCAGGUACCUGGACUAUUGCUGACACUCAACUGCGAAAGCUAGGGGAGCAAACAGG
rnacentral:rRNA from 1 species